GACGAACGCUGGCGGCGUGCUUAACACAUGCAAGUCGAACGAAGAGCGAUGGAAGCUUGCUUCUAUCAAUCUUAGUGGCGAACGGGUGAGUAACGCGUAAUCAACCUGCCCUUCAGAGGGGGACAACAGUUGGAAACGACUGCUAAUACCGCAUACGAUCUAAUCUCGGCAUCGAGGAUAGAUGAAAGGUGGCCUCUACAUGUAAGCUAUCACUGAAGGAGGGGAUUGCGUCUGAUUAGCUAGUUGGAGGGGUAACGGCCCACCAAGGCGAUGAUCAGUAGCCGGUCUGAGAGGAUGAACGGCCACAUUGGGACUGAGACACGGCCCAGACUCCUACGGGAGGCAGCAGUGGGGAAUCUUCCGCAAUGGACGAAAGUCUGACGGAGCAACGCCGCGUGAGCGAUGACGGCCUUCGGGUUGUAAAGCUCUGUUAAUCGGGACGAAAGGCCUUCUUGCGAAUAGGGAGAAGGAUUGACGGUACCGGAAGAGAAAGCCACGGCUAACUACGUG
rnacentral:rRNA from 1 species